GGAAUAUAAGAACCUGUGUCUUAAUUUUUAAUUAAAAAAGCUAAGAACUGGCUCUUAAAUAAGAGUUUAAGAGCCGGUUCUUAGUUUUUUUAGUUAAAAGUUAAGAGUCAGGUUUUUAUAUUCC
rfam:Brassica napus, WGS project CCCW01000000 data, contig: 2647